AAGUCGUAACAAGGUCUCCGUUGGUGAACCAGCGGAGGGAUCAUUACAGGACUCGCAAGACUCCUACAACCCUGUGAACUUCACUACAAGCACGUUGCUUCGGCGGGUGUCUCGGCGGAGGUCCCCACUGGGGACCUGCGCAGGGGCGCGAAGCCCGCCGGCAGCCUACUAUACUCUGUCUCUUUGCGUUGGCAUCUCGAGAAAAAGCAAACAAGUUAAAACUUUCAACAACGGAUCUCUUGGUUCUGGCAUCGAUGAAGAACGCAGCGAAAUGCGAUAAGUAAUGCGAAUUGCAGAAUUCCGUGAGUCAUCGAAUCUUUGAACGCACAUUGCGCCCGCCAGCAUUCUGGCGGGCAUGCCUGUUCGAGCGUCAUUUCAACCCUCAGGCCCUGCCUGGCGUUGGAGGACUGCGCACCGCAGCCUCCCAAAGCGAGCGGCGGCGGCGCCCCGAAACCGAACGCAGUAGUUCUCUCUCGUUCUGGGUCCGGGUCGUUGUCCUGCCGGAAAACCCCCAUCUAUACAAUGGUUGACCUCGAAUCAGGUAGGAAUACCCGCUGAACUUAA
rnacentral:rRNA from 1 species